rnacentral:rRNA from 1 species
UCGAGCGAAUCGAUGGGAGCUUGCUCCCUGAGAUUAGCGGCGGACGGGUGAGUAACACGUGGGCAACCUGCCUAUAAGACUGGGAUAACUUCGGGAAACCGGAGCUAAUACCGGAUACGUUCUUUUCUCGCAUGAGAGAAGAUGGAAAGACGGUUUACGCUGUCACUUAUAGAUGGGCCCGCGGCGCAUUAGCUAGUUGGUGAGGUAAUGGCUCACCAAGGCGACGAUGCGUAGCCGACCUGAGAGGGUGAUCGGCCACACUGGGACUGAGACACGGCCCAGACUCCUACGGGAGGCAGCAGUAGGGAAUCUUCCGCAAUGGACGAAAGUCUGACGGAGCAACGCCGCGUGAACGAAGAAGGCCUUCGGGUCGUAAAGUUCUGUUGUUAGGGAAGAACAAGUACCAGAGUAACUGCUGGUACCUUGACGGUACCUAACCAGAAAGCCACGGCUAACUACGUGCCAGCAGCCGCGGUAAUACGUAGGUGGCAAGCGUUGUCCGGAAUUAUUGGGCGUAAAGCGCGCGCAGGUGGUUCCUUAAGUCUGAUGUGAAAGCCCACGGCUCAACCGUGGAGGGUCAUUGGAAACUGGGGAACUUGAGUGCAGAAGAGGAAAGUGG